UGCAACAAUAUCUUCCUGCUUUGGAUACAAUAUACGAUAGCCGUCGAUGCAGCUUGACGAUUUGGAGCAUGUUUUUUAAUCAAGAAAAGAAUGCGGAUUUAACCAGAAUGAUAAUCCAUAUAAUAUUUUUCCUGUGGGUUGCUCGAUCGUGCAUUGCGGUGACUGUCGUAAUAGACGAGAAUGAGGUGAACUGCACGCUUGAUUGUGUUUGCUGUAAGGGAGGACCGUCACGAUGUGGGAAUCACCCUAGUAAAGGGCAAUAUUAUUGCCAUGAUGGCUGUGUUGAUACCAUUUACGGCGAAAGAUGUCACAAUCCCUGUCCAGGAAAUUGCUAUACAUGUGAACAAAUAACUGGCAAGUCAUGUUUUAGCUGCAAGGACAGAUUUUAUGACCAAAACAGUUUGUGUAAAAAGGCCUGCUCAGUCGGGUGUUUAGGGGGAACAUGUAAUGGCACUGAUGGCACUUGCGAUACAUGUACAGCAAAUUUCGAAGGACCACAUUGCAACACCUGCA